rnacentral:rRNA from 1 species
GAUGAACGCUGACAGAAUGCUUAACACAUGCAAGUCAACUUGAACUUCGGUUUGGGUGGCGGACGGGUGAGUCACGCGUAAAGAACUUGCCUCACAGAUAGGGACAACAUUUGGAAACGAAUGCUAAUACCUGAUAUUAUGAUUAUAUGGCAUCGUAUAAUUAUGAAAGCUAUAUGCGCUGUGAGAGAGCUUUGCGUCCCAUUAGCUAGUUGGAGAGGUAACGGCUCACCAAGGCGAUGAUGGGUAGCCGGCCUGAGAGGGUGAUCGGCCACAAGGGGACUGAGACACGGCCCCUACUCCUACGGGAGGCAGCAGUGGGGAAUAUUGGACAAUGGACCAAGAGUCUGAUCCAGCAAUUCUGUGUGCACGAUGAAGUUUUUCGGAAUGUAAAGUGCUUUCAGUUGGGAAGAAAAAAAUGACGGUACCAACAGAAGAAGUGACGGCUAAAUACGUG